UCGAGCGCGGGAAGCAAGCAAUCGCCCUUCGGGGCGUGCGCUUGUGGAACGAGCGGCGGACGGGUGAGUAACACGUGGGCAACCUGCCUGUAAGACUGGGAUAACUCGCGGAAACGUGAGCUAAUACCGGAUAACACUUUUUAUCUCAUGAUGAGAAGAUGAAAGGCGGCUUUUAGCUGUCACUUACAGAUGGGCCCGCGGCGCAUUAGCUAGUUGGUGAGGUAAUGGCUCACCAAGGCAACGAUGCGUAGCCGACCUGAGAGGGUGAUCGGCCACACUGGGACUGAGACACGGCCCAGACUCCUACGGGAGGCAGCAGUAGGGAAUCUUCCGCAGUGGACGAAAGUCUGACGGAGCAACGCCGCGUGAGUGAUGAAGGUUUUCGGAUCGUAAAACUCUGUUGUUAGGGAAGAACAAGUGCUAAAGUAACUGUUAGCACCUUGACGGUACCUAACCAGAAAGCCCCGGCUAACUACGUGCCAGCAGCCGCGGUAAUACGUAGGGGGCAAGCGUUGUCCGGAAUUAUUGGGCGUAAAGCGCGCGUAGGCGGUCCUUUAAGUCUGAUGUGAAAGCCCACGGCUUAACCGUGGAGGGUCAUUGGAAACUGGAGGACUUGAGUGCAGAAGAGGAGAGUGGAAUUCCACGUGUAGCGGUGAAAUGCGUAGAGAUGUGGAGGAACACCAGUGGCGAAGGCGACUCUCUGGUCUGUAACUGACGCUGAGGUGCGAAAGCGUGGGUAGCGAACAGGAUUAGAUACCCUGGUAGUCCACGCCGUAAA
rnacentral:rRNA from 1 species